UUAUGGUGUAACUAACAUACUGUCCUUUCAAGACAGAGCUAAAUAACUUUUUUAA
rnacentral:tRNA from 1 species